ACUUGGUGUGGUUGUUGCUGGCCCUCUCGGGGGCAUGUGCACACCCACCAUCCUCAUCUCUCCACCUGUGCACCACUUGUAGACCUGGAUUGACUUUCCGAGGCAACUCGGUCGGGAAGAUUGCUGCGCUCUGUGAGCCAGCUUUCUUUGCAUGUCCAGGCCUAUGUUUUUCAUAUACCCCUAUAGAAUGUAACAGAAUGUAUCAUUGGGCCUUGUGCCUAUAAACCUUAUACAACUUUCAGCAACGGAUCUCUUGGCUCUCGCAUCGAUGAAGAACGCAGCGAAAUGCGAUAAGUAAUGUGAAUUGCAGAAUUCAGUGAAUCAUCGAAUCUUUGAACGCACCUUGCGCUCCUUGGUAUUCCGAGGAGCAUGCCUGUUUGAGUGUCAUUAAAUUCUCAACCUUAUUAACUUUUGUUGAUAAUGGAUUGGAUUGUGGGGGUUUCUUUUGCUGGCUUCUUCACAGAGAUCAGCUCCCCUUAAAUGCAUUAGCUGGUGCCCCGCGUGGACCAUCUAUUGGUGUGAUAAUUAUCUACGCCGUGGAUGUCUGCAAUCAUAUGGGUUUCGCACUGCUUCUAACCGUCUGUUCAUUCGGACAAUACAUGACAAUUUGACCUCAAAUCAGGUAGGACUACCCGCUGAACUUAAGCAUAUCAAUAAGCGGAGGAAAAGAAACUAACAAGGAUUCCCCUAGUAACUGCGAGUGAAGCGGGAAAAGCUCAAAUUUAAAAUCUGGCGGUCUCCGGCCGUCCGAUUGUAAUCUAAGAAGUGUUAUCCGCGCUGGACCGGUGUAC
rnacentral:rRNA from 1 species